rnacentral:rRNA from 1 species
GAUGAACGCUAGCGGCAGGCCUAACACAUGCAAGUCGAGGGGCAACGAGAUGGUAGCAAUACCAUUGUCGGCGACCGGCGAACGGGUGCGUAACGCGUGAACAACUUGCCGGACACAGGGGGAUAAUCGUCGGAAGCGUCGUCUAAUAUCCCAUAACAUUGACAUGGGCCUCCAUGUUGAUUGAAAGCAAUUAUGCGGUGUCUGAUAGGUUCGCGUGACAUUAGCUAGUCGGUGGGGCAACGGCCCACCGAGGCGACGAUGUCUAGGGGUUCUGAGAGGAAGGCCCCCCACACUGGGACUGAGACACGGCCCAGACUCCUACGGGAGGCAGCAGUGAGGGAUAUUGGACAAUGGGCGGAAGCCUGAUCCAGCCAUGCCGCGUGAAGGAAUAAGGUCCUAUGGGUGCGUAAACUUCUUUUGACGCAGAGCAAUAAGGGACACGCGUGUUCCGAUGAGAGUAUGCGUCGAAUAAGCAUCGGCUAACUCCGUGCCAGCAGCCGCGGUAAUACGGAGGAUGCGAGCGUUAUCCGGAUUUAUUGGGUUUAAAGGGUGCGUAGGCUGUUGGAUAAGUCAGCGGUGAAAUCACCACGCUUAACGUGUUGUGUGCCGUUGAAACUGUCUGGCUUGAAUGCGCUCGUCGUGAGAGGAAUGUGUGGUGUAGCGGUGAAAUGCAUAGAUAUCACACAGAACACCGAUUGCGAAGGCAUCUCACGAGAGCGCUAUUGACGCUGAUGCACGAAAGCGCGGGUAUCGAACAGGAUUAGAUACCCUGGUAGUCCGCGCUGUAAACGAUGAUGACUAACCGUUGGUCUGGUAUGGAUCAGUGGUCAAGCGAAAGCGUUAAGUCAUCCACCUGGGGAGUACGGCCGCAAGGCUGAAACUCAAAGGAAUUGACGGGGGCCCGCACAAGCGGAGGAACAUGUGGUUUAAUUCGAUGAUACGCGAGGAACCUUACCCGGGCUCGAACGGCGGAUGAAUAUGUUAGAGAGAGCAUAGUCGCAAGACAUUCGUCGAGGUGCUGCAUUGGUUGUCGUCAGCUCGUGCCGUGAGGUGUCGGCCUAAGUUGCCAUAACG